AUACCUCAGUAACGGCGAAGUGAAGCGGUAAAAGCUCAAAUUUGAAAUCUGGCUCUUUUAGGGUCCGCAUUGUAAUUUGUAGAAGAUGCUUCGGGGUGUGGUUCCGGUCUAAGUUCCUUGGGAACAGGACGUCAUAGAGGGUGAGAAUCCCGUAUGUGACUGGAUACCUAUGCUCAUGUGAAGCUCUUUCGACGAGUCGAGUUGUUUGGGAAUGCAGCUCAAAAAUGGGAGGUAUAUUUUCUUCUAAAGCUAAAUAUUGGCCAGAGACCGAUAGCGCACAAGUAGAGUGAUCGAAAGAUGAAAAGCACUUUGGAAAGAGAGUUAAACAGUACGUGAAAUUGUUGAAAGGGAAGCGCUUGCAAUCAGACUUGCACUUGGUGUUCAUCAGGGUCUCGUACCCUGUGUACUUCAUCAAGUUCAGGCCAGCAUCAGUUUGAGUGGUUAGAUAAAGGCUUAGAGAAUGUGGCCCUCUUCGGGGGGUGUUAUAGCUCUAGGUGCAAUGUAGCCUACUUGGACUGAGGACCGCGCUUCGGCUAGGAUGCUGGCGUAAUGGUUGUAAGCGACCCGUCUUGAAACACGGACCAAGGAGUGUACCUAAUAUGCGAGUGUUUGGGUGUUAAACCCAUACGCGUAAUGAAAGUGAACGCUGGUGAGAACCCUUAAGGGUGCAUCAUCGACCGAUCUUGAUGUCUUCGGAUGGAUUUGAGUAAGAGCAUAUUGGGUGCGACCCGAAAGAUGGUGAUCUAUACGUGAAUAGGGUGAAGCCAGAGGAAACUCUGGUGGAGGCUCGCAGCGGUUCUGACGUGCAAAUCGAUCGUCAAAUUUGCGUAUAGGGGCGAAAGACUAAUCGAACCAUUAAGGAAUAGACCAAGCUCUAGGUGGUUGAGAAACCCCCCUUGGGGGUAUUAGUCCUGGAGACAGGGCGACAUUGUCAAAUUGUUCGGGGACCACCUGUUAAAUUACAUACUACCGCAGCAGUGCUGAAAGGGCCUGUGAGCACUAGAGGUAACGCCUCUAGGGAUGGUAAUAACGUAUGUAUAGGGUAUAUCCGCAGCGAAGUUCUAAGGCCCUCACGGGCUACGAAUCCGUUCACAGACUAGACGGCAAUGGGCUCCUAACGGGGCUUAAGAUAUAGUCGAACCCCUCAGAGAUGAGGAUGAUCAA
rnacentral:ncRNA from 1 species